ensembl:lncRNA
AUCUGGAAUCCUUGGUACAUCCCUACCCAUUGAAGUUAACAUUUAAAAUGGUUAAGAUAAGGGUUACGUUUAGGGUUCUCAAAGUUGCUUUGCUGUCUCGCUAUUUAUCAUGCAACUCCUGUCUCCAGAUGAUAUGCAGUCUUGAGAGCAGGUGCAGUGAUGCAGCUCAGCUCAGCUUCCCGGCGCGCCACCACACAGCACAGAAUGCUGCAGAGUCGAGUAGCUGAUUGCAAAGGAUUAAGCAAAGAGGGAUUACCAAAGACAUGCAGCCAAGGGAUUAGAGUGUUCUCCAGGACUUUCUGAAGAUUGGGUGCAUUUAUCGUGACCGUUCAGCGGUCCCACUCCACAGUCAACAGAUCCUCUCAUGAAACCAGAAAGCAGAGCAGUCUCACUGCCUCAGAAGCCCAACCAGGAACGUACUGCCUCGCUACAUUAUUAAGCCUCAACAUUGGUGUUUGAUGCACUGUCUAACUACGCUGAUAAAACAUUGUUAGCAGUGAGUGGCUGCUAAUGAUCUCAGAUCUCAGUCACUAUACUGAGUAUCUUUGCUCUCUGUGUGACCUGUGUUGAUCCAGUCUUUAUAGCAGGACUUUGCCUUGGUACUCCAGCAGACUUCCCCUCUACAGGUACUACAGUAUGUCUGUGUUGGGCUCAUGUUUUCUAGUGUUGUCUAUCUUUCACCAGCUCUGCUGGGACCUUAGUGGUUUGGAGGCCAUGAGUGCUCAGUGCAGUGGGGUCUCCAUCCUGUUUGGUGUACAUGUAAAGCCCAGGACAAGACUACAGGGCUGCUGGUGUGUGCUGUCCGGAUGUGGCCAUGGUGACUGUACACCCACUUUAGGGAAGCCAUGUUUCCUGGACACUUUUCUUUUUGUGCCAUCUCUGACCCCUACUCCCUUCUAGGCUUCGUCCUGUGCAGCAGGAAGUGAUGUCACAUGCAUCCUGACCUUUUAACCGUCAGAGGAUGGGUGUCGUCAUCAUAUCCCUGCUCUGCUCUCCCCCUCCCAUCACGGCAAACUGGACUACCAGAGAGAGACCUGGCAGCCUUCAGCCUGCCAACCACAAAUCUCUGUUUAACUCCUGACCUCCAUCUCACAUGCCUUCAUCAAGCUUAAAUCUGAUGCAUUUUUAAGCCCCUUCUUAUCAGCAAAUCAUUUUGAGGGGGAAAACAGCAACAACAAAAGUAUUUGUAGAUCAUUAUAAAUUGUAUUUGCUGUAGCCUACAGUAGGGUACAUUCAUUAAAUGUACUGUAUAAAUGUAUUUCCUUCAGGCCCAGCUCUGUGAAAAUCAGCUUAAAAGCUCACCACAGGCAGCCGUUAAAUGUGAUCAAUGACCAGGGUAGGUAUCCACCCCACGGCCAUAUCCGCUCUCUCACGUGAUAAACUGGUUCUCUAUGUCAGGUUUCAGUGGCUGUCUAGGCUUACAGAUCCCUUAUGGACUCAUUGAUUUAUUCUACUGUAUGUUACGGUGUCUGUUGAAUAUUCAAGCUGGUUCCUGUGUUAUAAAACAGCUAUGCCGUCAAUGACGAUGUAACCUGCCGUUGAAAAUAUCCGACUCCCCUGACCUGUUUCUGUUUUUGGCUCAUGGUUACCUACGCACAUGUGGGAUUCAAAUUAUCUGUUGAAAUGGGGAACAGGCCAGAUUACUGUGAUAGAUCAAACCAAAGGCCAUUAAUAGUAUAUAUUUC